GAUGAACGCUGGCGGCGUGCCUAAUACAUGCAAGUCGAGCGAACGGACGAGAAGCUUGCUUCUCUGAUGUUAGCGGCGGACGGGUGAGUAACACGUGGAUAACCUACCUAUAAGACUGGGAUAACUUCGGGAAACCGGAGCUAAUACCGGAUAAUAUUUUGAACCGCAGGGUUCAAAAGUGAAAGACGGUCUUGCUGUCACUUAUAGAUGGAUCCGCGCUGCAUUAGCUAGUUGGUAAGGUAACGGCUUACCAAGGCAACGAUGCAUAGCCGACCUGAGAGGAUGAUCGGCCACACUGGAACUGAGACACGGUCCAGACUCCUACGGGAGGCAGCAGUAGGGAAUCUUCGGCAAUGGGCGAAAGCCUGACGGAGCCACGCCGCGUGAGUGAUGAAGGUCUUCGGAUCGUAAAACUCUGUUAUUAGGGAAGAACAGAUGUGUAAGUAUCUGUGCACAUCUUGACGGUACCUAAUCAGAAAGCCACGGCUAACUACGUG
rnacentral:rRNA from 1 species